CAACCCUUAAGCCUAGCUUAGUGUUGGGAACCUACUGCGAGAGCUACCCUAUAGCACUUAACUACCCUGUAGCUCCCGAAAAUCAACGGCGGAUUUGCAGCGUCCUCUGAGCGUAGUAAUCACCAUCUCGCUUCUGUCAGGCGCUGUAGCUCUAGCCGCUAAACCCCCAAACUUCAAU
rnacentral:misc_RNA from 1 species